UAGUCCACGCCGUAAACGAUGUCAACUAGCCGUUGGGGGGUUACCCUUUAGUGGCGCAGCUAACGCGAUAAGUUGACCGCCUGGGGAGUACGGUCGCAAGAUUAAAACUCAAAUGAAUUGACGGGGGCCCGCACAAGCGGUGGAGCAUGUGGUUUAAUUCGAUGCAACGCGAAGAACCUUACCUACUCUUGACAUCCAGAGAACUUAGCAGAGAUGCUUUGGUGCCUUCGGGAACUCUGAGACAGGUGCUGCAUGGCUGUCGUCAGCUCGUGUUGUGAAAUGUUGGGUUAAGUCCCGCAACGAGCGCAACCCUUAUCCUUGUUUGCCAGCGAGUAAUGUCGGGAACUCCAGGGAGACUGCCGGUGAUAAACCGGAGGAAGGUGUGGAUGACGUCAAGUCAGCAUGGGCCCUUAUAUCCUGGGGCUACACACACGCUACAAUGGACGGUACAAUAGGUA
rnacentral:rRNA from 1 species